rnacentral:rRNA from 1 species
AUCCUGGCUCAGGAUGAACGCUAGCGGCAGGCCUAAUACAUGCAAGUCGAACGGGUUGUGGUAGCAAUACCACGAUCAGUGGCGCACGGGUGCGUAACGCGUAUGCAACCUACCUUAAACUGGGGGAUAGCCUUCCGAAAGGAAGAUUAAUACCGCAUAAGAUCACACGAGGGCAUCUGAGAGUGAUUAAAGAUUUAUUGGUUUAAGAUGGGCAUGCGUGCCAUUAGCUAGUUGGUAGGGUAACGGCCUACCAAGGCGACGAUGGCUAGGGGUUCUGAGAGGAUGAUCCCCCACACUGGCACUGAGAUACGGGCCAGACUCCUACGGGAGGCAGCAGUAGGGAAUAUUGGGCAAUGGAGGCAACUCUGACCCAGCCAUGCCGCGUGCAAGAAGAAGGCCUUCUGGGUUGUAAACUGCUUUUAUCUGGGAAGAAAAAGCCCCUGCGGGGGAAACUGACGGUACCAGAGGAAUAAGCACCGGCUAACUCCGUGCCAGCAGCCGCGGUAAUACGGAGGGUGCAAGCGUUGUCCGGAUUUAUUGGGUUUAAAGGGUGCGUAGGCGGCCCGGUAAGUCAGUGGUGAAAGCCUCCAGCUCAACUGGAGAACUGCCAUUGAUACUGCCGGGCUUGAGUACAGACGAGGUUGGCGGAAUUGAUUGUGUAGCGGUGAAAUGCAUAGAUACAAUCAAGAACUCCGAUUGCGUAGGCAGCUAACUAGGCUGUAACUGACGCUGAGGCACGAAAGCGUGGGGAGCGAACAGGAUUAGAUACCCUGGUAGUCCACGCUGUAAACGAUGAUUACUCGAUGUUGGCGAUAAACUGUCAGCGUCUUAGCGAAAGCGUUAAGUAAUCCACCUGGGGAGUACGCCCGCAAGGGUGAAACUCAAAGGA